rnacentral:rRNA from 1 species
UACGUAGGGUCCGAGCGUUGUCCGGAAUUACUGGGCGUAAAGAGCUCGUAGGCGGUCUGUUGCGUCGGCUGUGAAAACCCGGGGCUCAACCCCGGGCCUGCAGCCGAUACGGGCAGACUAGAGUUCGGCAGGGGAGACUGGAAUUCCUGGUGUAGCGGUGAAAUGCGCAGAUAUCAGGAGGAACACCGGUGGCGAAGGCGGGUCUCUGGGCCGAUACUGACGCUGAGGAGCGAAAGCGUGGGGAGCGAACAGG